rnacentral:tRNA from 1 species
GGAGAGAUGGUUGAGUGGUUGACAGCUUCAGUCUUGAAAACCGAUAUAGGUCGAAACAAAGAACUAUUGAGGGUUCGAAUCCUUCUCUCUCCU